CCUACGGGGGGCAGCAGUGGGGAAUAUUGGACAAUGGGGGGAACCCUGAUCCAGCCAUGCCGCGUGUGUGAAGAAGGCCCUCGGGUUGUAAAGCACUUUCAGUGAGGAAGAACGCCUGGUGGUUAAUACCCAUCAGGAAAGACAUCACUCACAGAAGAAGCACCGGCUAACUCCGUGCCAGCAGCCGCGGUAAUACGGAGGGUGCGAGCGUUAAGCGGAAUUACUGGGCGUAAAGCGCGCGUAGGUGGCUUGAUAAGCCGGUUGUGAAAGCCCCGGGCUCAACCUGGGAACGGCAUCCGGAACUGUCAAGCUAGAGUGCAGGAGAGGAAGGUAGAAUUCCCGGUGUAGCGGUGAAAUGCGUAGAGAUCGGGAGGAAUACCAGUGGCGAAGGCGGCCUUCUGGACUGACACUGACACUGAGGUGCGAAAGCGUGGGUAGCAAACAGGAUUAGAUACCCUAGUAGUC
rnacentral:rRNA from 1 species